AUGCAACUCUGGACGCUUGAAGGCGCAGUUGAGGCCCUCGGAGACAAGGUGAUCGUCGACCGUCUAGACAGCCGGACCUACAAGCGCGCCGACACCAAGAUGUUCGCGUGCUGGGUCUGGGUCUGGAAUCUCUCCUUCAUCCCGACCAAGCGGACGAUCUGGAAGCAUGCGAGGGGGGCGGUCCGCGUGGAGGAGAUGCACGGCUACUCGCCACCGAGCCGCGCGGUUCCUCCGCCGAAGCUGCUGCAGUACAACCUGCUGCUGCAUGUUGAUCGGGUGGAGGACUGG
rnacentral:rRNA from 1 species